UACAGAGGUCCCAAGCGUUGUUCGGAUUCAUUGGGCGUAAAGGGCUCGUAGGCGGCCAACUAAGUCGGACGUGAAAUCCCUCAGCUUAACUGGGGAACUGCGUCCGAUACUGGAUGGCUUGGAUUCGGGAGAGGAAUGCGGAAUUCCAGGUGUAGCGGUGAAAUGCGUAGAUAUCUGGAGGAACACCGGUGGCGAAGGCGGCAUUCUGGACCGACAUUGACGCUGAGGAGCGAAAGCCAGGGGAGCAAACGGG
rnacentral:rRNA from 1 species